AAGGGCUUCUGUUGAGCAGUCUGUAUGCUAUACGACAUGUGGGUCAAGCGCACAUUACGCCUGUUAACAGUGUCAUCGACUUUAAUUAAGAGCCCACUGGGGUACAGAGACACCGCAUUGGGAGGACGAGUCGCACAACUGUCGCUUUGCAGUCGUCUUCGAUAAUUAACCAUUUCUAAACAGUAUUUUUUUUAAACAAACUGUAAAGUAAAUUAGUUUUUGACCCUAUAGGUACCUUAAAUAUAACAAACUAAGUCAACGAAAUAUUUAUCAUUUAAAAAAGCUGCUGAAUGUUUCCUUAAAGAUAAAAGAACAAAGGAGCGGUUUAAUUACGGAUGCGACAUGAAACAACUGCUGAUCGGCUGAUGAAAAACUCGGCACAUAUACUGAUGACAAGAUAAUGUUCAAAGAUAUUUCAAAUGAUAUCAAAUUACCCAAAGCGUGUUGCUCAAUUAUGGCUAUUUUAAAAAGUCAAAUUAAAAAUAAAAUUAACAAUGCAGUCCAUUGUCUCCUAUUCGGAGUUUAGGUAUACCGGAGCGUGUCUUAUAUUCACUAUUAUCAUUUUUUUUUCUAAAGUAUUUUUGUUACAGGUCAAUGUUGUAAUAUUCGAUAUGUAACGAAAUGGCACUAAUUUGAUAUUUAUACGGAUGAGAGCAACAUUCUUGAUCUUCUGGUUUAUUUCAGCUGGAAUUCCCGGCUCCUGACAGCGCAACCGCAGUGACUUUCUACGCAGGAGCUCGACCUGCACGGACUUCACGGUAACAGCAAAACUGGAGACUUUAGCAAGACACGACAUACUGGAUCGGCAAAGCAAUCGGCCCUGCAUCAUGUCUACUAAGAGAACAAGCUGUUUGAUUUGCAGAGGAUCAUUGGAGUAUGUGAAGAUGGUGCGUCUAUCUGAAGUUGCAGAAAGAACUGGAUGGAUAACUUCUGAUGUAAAAUGUGUGCCAUCAUUUGGUAGGUAAAGGAUCACAAACGUACUGUGCAAUAGAACCUUCCAGAAGAACUGAAAACUGGACAAAUCAACACCUACACUGGAUGGCAGUUAUAUAAUGCAGAGCCACAACUGUACAAAUCCAACAUCACUCACUAACAAUAAGUGUCAAAAGACAAUCAGCCACUGCCUCUGUCAGCUUAGUAUGAACAUAAAGGACUUGGCUGGUUUUGAUGAAACGUUAUUAGACAGAAUGAAGGAUGAUUUUGAUCCAACAACUCCAUGAGAAAGGAUUUUUCCAGAGAUUCAUUGUUAAAAAGCAUACAUCACCAAAAUUAAGCAUCAUGGUUUUCGACCUACAGGAUCCAAGUUAGUUAUCAGUGUGCACAUCAUAACUGUCUAAAUAUCUUGUUUACUAUAUUGGAAUCACUUUCAUUGGCACAGAUGGAAACCGAGUAUUCCAGCACAAUAAUGGAUAACCACACUUUGUUGCUUUCCAGGUCCCCUGAAGCUCUUGAUUUUAUUCCAAACAGACAUUUUUGGGACCUUAUUGGCAGACAUCUGGAUUCUGCUUGCCAGGCCCAGCCACAAUUAUGUCUCAGCUAACCAGGAACACAAAGUAGGAAGUGGAAUAAUAUCCCACAGAAAAGUAUCCAAGCUCUGAUUGACUCAAUGCAACUUUAAGUUCAGGCGUGUCAUUAUGAUAAUGGUGAAUCUGCUAUUAUGAGGAUUUUGGAAAAAAACAUUAACCCAUUAAAAGUGCAUAAGAACAUAAGCAAUAUGACAAACGAGAGGAAACUAUUCAGUCCAUCACGUCUGUUUGUUUACCUAAAAGCUGUCCCAAAGUUGAUAGAAACUGAAUAAGAUCUUCAUGGUCCUAUAAUUUAUUUAAAGCACUUCAUACUUGAUUUUCUGGGUUCAAUCUAUUUACAAAGUCUUGGAAAAUUCAUAAAAACAUGUUUAUUAUGUGUGGACUGUGGAUAUCUUUGUGCAAGAUUAUGAAAGGAAUAAAGAUAUUACAGGUGUGGCAAAAUUACAUAUUACCAAGAACAUUUUCACCACAGAUUUUGUUGACCUAAUUUGUAUAUAAAUCAAAUUUUGUUGGCAUCCUAAAACUAUAUCCAGAAGUAAAUAUUUUGUGUUUAUUACACCAAGAAUGUCCUUGUCACCAGAAGCAGAAAAAGCCUCGAGACACUGAGCAAUAAAGCCAAAGAAGCCCCGCCCCUACUGGUCCAUUUGGUAUAAGAGGGAGAUGUUUCCAGGAGGUGGCAUCUCAUUUUGGACCUGACUGCUAUAGAGAACAUGAGAGAGAGAGAAAAUGCAUCCUUUAAAGUGUACUGUUUUGUCCCGACCUUAGAGUGUCCUUGAGCAUGUGUUUUAUUUACAGUUUUCUAUUUUGCUGGAAUUUAAUAGAGUUUUGCCCAGUUGGUAUGUCAAGCAUUUCGUUUUUGCCCCGCCUCAUUAUUCGUCCUACACUAUCAGUGCUGUUGAAAAGAUGGCCUUCAAAUAUUGAGAAAUUCAGACUUUUUCCAAAGUAUUCCAAUACACCUAUCAACCUGACAGGAAUUCACAGUCUUAAGAUGUUUAAAAUCAGAUUUCCUUGGACAAAUACUAUUUUCUGAUUGAAAUGAUUCCACUUGAUUAUCUGGUAAGAGUGAGUGAGGUUGUGAGCUCUCAGCUGACAGCCUUUGCAUACACAGCAGUUGUACUCACAUGGGCUAAUUUAUUUUUUAUUGGAUUUAACACAUUGAAGUGAAAUACCAGAAUGGGCCUGUCAAUAACAUUUUGGAGUCAAAGUGUACAGUUGUGCUUGAACGUUUGUGAA